rnacentral:rRNA from 1 species
UACGGAGGGGGCUAGCGUUGUUCGGAGUUACUGGGCGUAAAGCGCACGUAGGCGGCUUUGUAAGUUAGAGGUGAAAGCCCAGGGCUUAACCCUGGAAUUGCCUUUAAGACUGCAUCGCUAGAAUCGUGGAGAGGUGAGUGGAAUUCCGAGUGUAGAGGUGAAAUUCGUAGAUAUUCGGAAGAACACCAGUGGCGAAGGCGGCUCACUGGCCCGUUACCGACGCUCAGGCGCGACAGCGUGGGGAGCAAACAGG